UGCGGGGUCGUCUAACGGUAGGACAUGGGACUUUGAAUCCCAGUAUCUAGGUUCGAUUCCUAGCCCCGCAGCCC
rnacentral:tRNA from 2 species